rnacentral:tRNA from 1 species
CCCAGAUAGCUCAGUUGGUAGAGCGGGUGCCCAUAUAUAGAGGUUUACUCCUUGACGCAGCAGGCCUGGGUUCAAUUCCAAGCUGUGG